AGGUCAAGCAAGAAAGAGCACGAGGUGAAUGCCUUGGCACUGGGAGCCGAUGAAGGACGUGAUAAGCUGCGAAAAGCUUCGGGGAGGCGCACAUAGCCAUUGAGCCGAAGAUGUCCGAAUGGGGGAACCUGCCUAAGAAAACCUUAGGUAUCUGUAUGUAAAUCCAUAGCAUACAGAAGGGAACGCUGCGAGGUGAAUGCCUUGGCACUGGGAGCCGAUGAAGGACGUGAUAAGCUGCGAAAAGCUUCGGGGAGGCGCACAUAGCCAUUGAGCCGAAGAUGUCCGAAUGGGGGAACCUGCCUAAGAAAACCUUAGGUAUCUGUAUGUAAAUCCAUAGCAUACAGAAGGGAACGCUGCGAACUGAAACAUCUAAGUAGCAGUAGGAGGAGAAAGAAAAAUCGAUUUCCUAAGUAGCGGCGAGCGAAAGGGAAAGAGGCCAAACCAGAAGACAUAGUUUUCUGGGGUUGAGGACUGUGUAAGGUAUUGAAUAGAGAUAGUUGAAGUGUUUUGGGAAAGCACACCAAAGAAGGUGAAAGUCCGGUAAACGAAAUUGAAAUUCAGCCGACAGUAUCCAGAGUACUACGGGACACGAGAAACCCUGUAGGAAGCCGGGGGACCACCCCCCAAGCCUAAAUACUCCCCAGUGACCGAUAGAGAAGCAGUACUGUGAAGGAAAGGUGAAAAGGACCCCGGGAGGGGAGUGAAAGAGAACCUGAAACCCCGUGCUUACAAACAGCCAGAGGGAAACUGAUGGCGUACUUUUUGUAGAACGGUCCGGCGAGUUACAAUUACUAGCGAGGUUAACUGUUAAUAAGGCAGGAAGCCGAAGGGAAACCAAGUCUGAAGAGGGCGAUAUAGUUAGUGAUAGUAGACCCGAAACCGGGUGACCUAUCCAUGUCCAGGUUGAAG
rnacentral:rRNA from 1 species